AACGAACGCUGGCGGCAUGCCUAACACAUGCAAGUCGAACGAGAUCUUCGGGUCUAGUGGCGCACGGGUGCGUAACGCGUGGGAAUCUGCCCUUUGGUUCGGAAUAACAGUUGGAAACGACUGCUAAUACCGGAUGAUGACGAAAGUCCAAAGAUUUAUCGCCAGAGGAUGAGCCCGCGUAGGGUUAGCUAGUUGGUGUGGUAAAGGCGCACCAAGGCGACGAUCCUUAGCUGGUCUGAGAGGAUGAUCAGCCACACUGGGACUGAGACACGGCCAGACUCCUACGGGAGGCAGCAGUGGGGAAUAUUGGACAAUGGGCGAAAGCCUGAUCCAGCAAUGCCGCGUGAGUGAUGAAGGCCUUAGGGUUGUAAAGCUCUUUUACCCGGGAUGAUAAUGACAGUACCGGGAGAAUAAGCUCCGGCUAACUCCGUGCCAGCCGCCGCGGUAA
rnacentral:rRNA from 1 species